rnacentral:rRNA from 1 species
GAGACAGCAGCCGCCACGGGAAUACAGAGGGUGCGAGCGUUAAUCGGAUUUACUGGGCGUAAAGCGUGCGUAGGCGGCUUCUUAAGUCGGAUGUGAAAUCCCUGAGCUUAACUUAGGAAUUGCAUUCGAUACUGGGAAGCUAGAGUAUGGGAGAGGAUGGUAGAAUUCCAGGUGUAGCGGUGAAAUGCGUAGAGAUCUGGAGGAAUACCGAUGGCGAAGGCAGCCAUCUGGCCUAAUACUGACGCUGAGGUGCGAAAGCGUGGGGAGCAAACAGGAUUAGAUACCCCGGUAGUCCCUGUCUCUUAUAC